rnacentral:rRNA from 1 species
UGGGGAAUAUUGCACAAUGGGCGCAAGCCUGAUGCAGCCAUGCCGCGUGUAUGAAGAAGGCCUUCGGGUUGUAAAGUACUUUCAGCGGGGAGGAAGGCGUUGUGGUUAAUAACCGCAACGAUUGACGUUACUCGCAGAAGAAGCACCGGCUAACUCCGUGCCAGCAGCCGCGGUAAUACGGAGGGUGCAAGCGUUAAUCGGAAUUACUGGGCGUAAAGCGCACGCAGGCGGUCUGUCAAGUCGGAUGUGAAAUCCCCGGGCUCAACCUGGGAACUGCAUCCGAAACUGGCAGGCUAGAGUCUUGUAGAGGGGGGUAGAAUUCCAGGUGUAGCGGUGAAAUGCGUAGAGAUCUGGAGGAAUACCGGUGGCGAAGGCGGCCCCCUGGACAAAGACUGACGCUCAGGUGCGAAAGCGUGGGGAGCAAACA